UGCGUAGGCGGUUACCUAAGUCAGGUGUGAAAUCUUUCGGCUCAACCGAAAAACUGCGCUUGAAACUGGGUGACUGGAGUGAGGCAGGGGUGUAUGGAACUUCCGGUGGAGCGGUGAAAUGUGUAGAUAUCGGAAGGAACGCCAGCAGCGAAAGCGGUACACUGGGCCUUUUCUGACGCUGAGGCACGAAAGCUAGGGGAGUGAACGGGAUUAGAUACCCCGGUAAUCCUAGCCGUAAACACUGAACACUGGAGGAGGGAGGCAGCAGCCUUCUUUCUCGUAGCGAAAGCGUUAAGUGUUCCGCCUGGGGAGUAUAGUCGCAAGGCUGAA
rnacentral:rRNA from 1 species